rnacentral:rRNA from 1 species
GGAAUCUUGGACAAUGGGCGAAAGCCUGAUCCAGCCAUGCCGCGUGGGCGAUGAAGGCCUUCGGGUCGUAAAGCCCUUUUCUGAGAGAAGAACAUCCCGGGGAGGAAAUGCCCUGGGCUUGACGGUAUCUCAGGAAUAAGCAACGGCUAACUCCGUGCCAGCAGCCGCGGUAAUACGGAGGUUGCAAGCGUUGUUCGGAAUAACUGGGCGUAAAGGGGGCGCAGGCGGCUUGUUAAGUCUGGAGUGAAAGCCCGGGGCUCAACCUCGGAAGGCCUUUGGAUACUGGCAAGCUAGAGUACGGGAGAGGAGAGCGGAAUUCCUGGUGUAGCGGUGAAAUGCGUAGAUAUCAGGAGGAACAUCUGUGGCGAAAGCGGCUCUCUGGCCCGAAACUGACGCUGAGGCCCGAAAGCGUGGGGAGCGAACAGGAUUAGAUACCCCCGUAGUCC